AUGGAGAUUUACUCCAAGGAGGAAGAGUUUUGGCGCCAACGCGGCUCCAUUAACUGGGUGCUAUUUGGGGAUGCCAACACUGCUUACUUCUAGGCCAUCGCUAAUGGCCGUAGGCGACGUUGUUCCAUCCCUCUCCUUUGGGAGGGUGGACAGUUGUUUCAAGACCCUCAGGCUAUCCGCCUGCUAGUUGACGACUUUUACAAGUCUCUAUUUCAGGGACGGCAGCGGAAUGGUGUCGCCCUGGCCGACCAUAUCUGGUCACGCGACCAAUAG
rnacentral:rRNA from 1 species